CCUCUGGAACCCGGGCUCCGGCCGGCGGCCCAGAGGACGCUGUUCCCGCAGUGCCUGCACUCUGUAGGUGUUCAGGAUGCUCAUUUUAUUAUACUCGUUUGUAGACGUGGCCUGGGUUUGGAAGGACAUUGGGUUUGUGUCCCAAUGUGAGUGAAGGAGCUUUGAUAGAAGGAUUAAUUGAGUGAUCAGUCUUUGUGCCGAGUUUUUAUCUAGUGUUUGUGAUGAUUCCUGCCCUUCUAACAACCACACCUUAUCGUCCAGCCUUACAUUAUAGCUCAGCCUCGGACAUACUCUUCUGCACACUGUAAGAUUUAAAUUUAGAUAGUAAAUGCUUAAAGCAAGACCAGGAUGCACAUUUACUGCUGCCUGUGGAAAUAACUGUUUUGAAGGAUUAGCCUGCGGAAGAGGAGGCGUAAGGAAGUGAGUCUGAAUUAGAAAAUAUAUUAAUAGUUAACACCUGGUUUAAGUGAGCGUUGAAAUGGGUCAAGCGCAAGGGCAAUCACUUUGCAUGAAUUAUCUCCAAAAUAUUCGUAGAUAUCCAGUGAGCUAGGAACUAUUAUCAUGAUUUUACAGAUGUAGAAACGGACUUCGCAGGAGUCAACUAUUUUAUUUAGCCAGAGUUGACCAGCUGGGAGCGAUCACUGCUGCUGAACUCCAGAGCUGGUUACAUGGUCGGCGAGGCCCAGUGCAAAAAGAAAAUACAGGAAACCUCAUUCAAAAAGUCCAAAAGAAGUGUUUGCAGCCAACACACAGAUGAAACAGUUAAAAAUGAAGAAAAAAAGAAGAAGGAGAAGGAGAAGGAAAAGGAGGAGAUGGAGAAAGUAUGGGAAGAGGAGUGGGAAGAGAAGAACCAUCUUUGAUUUGGAAAAAAAUAAAAGAAGAUUCACAGGAGUGAUCUUGAAACCACAUGGAGCAAUGCCUUAAAUUACAUGUUAAGUAAGACAAUCCUGGUUUUCCUUGCUGGCCAGAAGAUCCUGGCUUCCCUUGCUGACCAGAAGAUCCUGGUUUUCCUUGGUGGCCAGAAGAUCCUGGUUUUCCAUGGUGGCCAGAAGAUCCUGGUUUUCCUUGCUGG